rnacentral:rRNA from 1 species
AUUGAACGCUGGCGGCAGGCCUAACACAUGCAAGUCGAGCGGAUGAAGGGAGCUUGCUCCUGGAUUCAGCGGCGGACGGGUGAGUAAUGCCUAGGAAUCUGCCUGGUAGUGGGGGAUAACGUCCGGAAACGGGCGCUAAUACCGCAUACGUCCUGAGGGAGAAAGUGGGGGAUCUUCGGACCUCACGCUAUCAGAUGAGCCUAGGUCGGAUUAGCUAGUUGGUGGGGUAAAGGCCUACCAAGGCGACGAUCCGUAACUGGUCUGAGAGGAUGAUCAGUCACACUGGAACUGAGACACGGUCCAGACUCCUACGGGGGGCAGCAGUGGGGAAUAUUGGACAAUGGGCGAAAGCCUGACCCAGCCAUGCCGCGUGUGUGAAGAAGGUCUUCGGAUUGUAAAGCACUUUAAGUUGGGAGGAAGGGCAGUAAGUUAAUACCUUGCUGUUUUGACGUUACCAACAGAAUAAGCACCGGCUAACUUCGUG